AGAUGAAUCAUUUUCAGCACAGAUGCUGGGGGACUGAAAAAUGGAAAUUGGUAGCCAGGGAUUGCACCACAAAAUCUUCCUUCAGUCUAUUUUUGGCUCAUCCUUGUGCAGGCUGCAAAGUGUGCUAGCACUUGAUUAGUUCUCCGAUGGGAUUAUAUGCUUUCCUUUGUGGGAUUUCUUCAGGUAGCAGGCAACCACUUCUGCACUUGAGGUUGAGGCCACAUGCAUCACAUCACCCAUCCUUCUGAGAUCAGAUUACACACAAUUCAAUACUAUUGGAUCAUAAUAUUGGUUUAGUAAAUCAACGUGCCCUUGUGCAA